UUAGGCCACCCGGGAUGGGGCAGGGUCAUGAGCGGUCUCUCCUAGGGCCACUGUGUCCAAACCAAUUCUGCUGCUCCUGCCAUCCCUCUUGAAAUGCCUGUGGCAUGCCAGACUGCUGAGAUUCAAAUUACCAGGUGAACAGACAUAUAAAUGGAGCUGUAUUCCCAUAUUGGAACAUUAUUCAGCAAUAAAAAUAGAAUGAAUUACAAUAUGCAGAACAUAAAUGAUAGUCAAAAUAUUAAGCCAAAUGAGAGAAGACAGAUGCAACUGAAUACCUAUGCUAUGAUUCCACUUAUGGGAGUUUCUGGAACAUGCAAAAUUAACCUACAGUGACUUAAAAGAAGACCAGUAAGAAGAUCAGUACUGGAGGCUCAUGCAAUCAACAUAUCCUUGGGUGAAGAUU